CCUACGGGAGGCAGCAGUGGGGAAUAUUGCACAAUGGGCGCAAGCCUGAUGCAGCCGUGCCGCGUGUAUGAAGAAGGCCUUCGGGUUGUAAAGUACUUUCAGCGGGGAGGAAGGGAGUAAAGUUAAUACCUUUGCUCAUUGACGUUACCCGCAGAAGAAGCACCGGCUAACUCCGUGCCAGCAGCCGCGGUAAU
rnacentral:rRNA from 1 species